rnacentral:lncRNA from 10 species
ACUAGGAUGGGAGCUUCAGGAAAGAAGCAGUUUUUGUCUGUAUGUCCAGUGCUUUGUUAGUUCCAUGAAUGGUCCUGGGGUGGAUACCGUCACCUGAGGAAGUGGAGGGGUGCAGGAAGGAGCCUGCCUUGCAGAGGACGAGGAAGGACCAGAGCAAGGCGCCUGUAUGUUUCCAGACGGGGGAGAUUUGACACCAGAAGUGGGAGCUGUGACAACAGAAGCAAGAGGUUGGAGUGAUGUAAGGAAGUGGAAUUCUGCCGAAGAAUGCAGGCAGCUCCGGAAGCUACAGAAGUCCGGGAAAUGGAUCCUCCCUCCAACCUCCAGCAGGAGCCAACCUGCCAACACCUUGACUUUAGCCCAGUGACAAUGAUUUU